rnacentral:rRNA from 1 species
ACGGCUCAGUAACACGUUGAUAAUCUACCCUUAGAUUCAGAAUAAGCAUGGGAAACUGUGUUUAAUACUGGAUAAGAGAAUUCUACUGGAAGGUGUUUUCUCUAAAAGCUUCGGCGUCUAAGGAUGAGUCAGCGGCUGAUUAGGUUGUUGGUGAGGUAAAGGCUCACCAAGCCAAAGAUCAGUAGGGGGGAUGAGAGUCCUAGCCCCGAGAAGGGCACUGAGAAACUGGCCCUAGUCCUAAGGGAUGCAGCAGUCGCGAAAACUUUACAAUGCACGCAAGUGUGAUAAGGGGAUUCCAAGUGCUUAUACUCUGUAUAAGCUUUUGCUAAGUGUAAAAAGCUUGGCGAAUAAGUGGUGGGUAAUACCGGUGCCAGCCGCCGCGGUAACCCCGGAGCCACUAGUGGGGACCAGUUUUAUUGGGUCUAAAGCACACGUAGCCGGUCUAGAAAAUCUUUUGUGAAAUUGUUAGGCUUAACCUAACAUCGUGCAAAAGAGACUUUUAGACUUGGGACCGGGAGAGGUUAGAAGUAUUCUAGGGGGAGCGGUAAAAUGUGAUAAUCCCUAGAGGACUCCCAAUGGCGAAGGCAUCUAACCAGAACGGGUCCGACGGUGAGGAGUGAAGGCUAGGAGAACGAAAAGGAUUAGAUACCCUAGUAGCCCUAGCAGUAAACGCUGUGAGCUAUAUGUUGCAUGUUCUUCGUGAACAUGCAGUGUCGAAGCGAAGGCAUUAAGCUCACCACCUGGGAAGUACGGUCGCAAGAUUGAAACUUAAAGGAAUUGGCGGGGGAGCAC